GCGAGUGUGGCGGAAUUGGCAGACGCGCUGUCUUGAGGGGGCAGUGAGUAUUUACUCGUGGGGGUUCAACUCCCCCCAUUCGCACCA
rnacentral:tRNA from 1 species